UGUUUUAAUAUUAAAGGGCUGCAGUAUAUUGACUGUACAAAGGUAGCAUAAUCAUUAGUCUUUUAAUUGGAGACUUGUAUGAAAGAUUUGAUGAGAUAUAAACUGUCUCUGAUUUAUUAUUAGAAAUUAAUUUUUUAGUUAAAAAGCUAAAAUAAUAUUAAAAGACGAGAAGACCCUAUAGAGUUUUAUAUUUUAUUUAUUUAAUAUUUAAUAUAUAAUUAAAUUAUAUUAAAUAAAUAAAAUAUUGUAUUGGGGUGAUAAAAAAAUUUAAUAAACUUUUUUUUAAAAAUGAACAUAAAUAAGUGAUUAAUUGAUCCAUUAAUAAUGAUUAAAAGAAAAAAUUACCUUAGGGAUAACAGCGUAAUGUUUUUUUUUAGUACAAAUAAGAAAAAAAGUUUGCGACCUCGAUGUUGGAUUAAGAUAAAAUUUAAAUGCAAAAGUUUAAAAUUUUGAUCUGUUCGAUCAUUAAAAUCUUACAUGAUCUGA
rnacentral:rRNA from 1 species